UACGUAGGGGGCUAGCGUUGUCCGGAUUUAUUGGGCGUAAAGAGCGUGUAGGCGGCUGGGUAGGUCCGUUGUGAAAACUCGAGCUCAACCUCGAGACGCCGAUGGAAACCCUCCAGCUAGAGUCCGGAAGAGGAGUGUGGAAUUCCUGGUGUAGCGGUGAAAUGCGUAGAGAUCAUGAGGAAGACCAGUGGCGAAGGCGGGUCUCUGGACAGUUCCUGACACUGAGACACGAAGGCCAGGGGAGCAAACGGG
rnacentral:rRNA from 1 species